rnacentral:rRNA from 1 species
CAUGAAGUAGCAAUACUUUGAUGGCGACCGGCAAACGGGUGCGGAACACGUACACAACCUUCCUUUUAGUGGGGAAUAGCCCAGAGAAAUUUGGAUUAAUACCCCGUAACAUAACGAUGUGGCAUCACAUUGUUAUUAUAGCUUCGGCGCUAGAUGAUGGGUGUGCGUAUGAUUAGAUAGUUGGCGAGGUAACGGCUCACCAAGUCUACGAUCAUUAGCUGAUGUGAGAGCAUGAUCAGCCACACGGGCACUGAGACACGGGCCCGACUCCUACGGGAGGCAGCAGUAAGGAAUAUUGGUCAAUGGACGCAAGUCUGAACCAGCUAUGCCGCGUGAAGGAUUAAGGUCCUCUGGAUUGUAAACUUCUUUUAUCUGGGACGAAAAAAGGUUUUUCUAAGCCUCUUGACGGUACCAGAUGAAUAAGCACCUUCGUG